rnacentral:rRNA from 1 species
CCUUGUACACACCGCCCGUCACACCAUGGGAGUGGGUUCCACCAGAAGUAGGUAGCCUAACCGCAAGGGGGGCGCUUACCACGGUGAGAUUCAUGACUGGGGUG